GACGUAGGGCGCGAGCGUUGUCCGGAUUUAUUGGGCGUAAAGAGCUCGUAGGCGGCUUGUCGCGUCGACUGUGAAAACCCGGGGCUCAACUUCGGGCUUGCGGUCGAUACGGGCGGGCUAGAGUUCGGUAGGGGAGACUGGAAUUCCUGGUGUAGCGAUGAAAUGCGCAGAUAUCAGGAGGAACACCGGUGGCGAAGGCGGGUCUCUGGGCCGAUACUGACGCUGAGGAGCGAAAGCGUGGGGAGCGAACAGG
rnacentral:rRNA from 1 species